rnacentral:rRNA from 1 species
CAGCCGCCGCGGUAAUACGAGGGGGGCAAGCGUUGUUCGGAAUUAUUGGGCGUAAAGGGCGCGUAGGCGGUUUGACAAGUUUGGUGUGAAAUCUAUGGGCUCAACCCAUAGCCUGCAUCGAAAACUGUCGGGCUUGAGUAUGGGAGAGGUGAGUGGAAUUUCCGGUGUAGCGGUGAAAUGCGUAGAUAUCGGAAGGAACACCUGUGGCGAAAGCGGCUCACUGGACCAUUACUGACGCUGAGGCGCGAAAGCUAGGGGAGCAAACAGGAUUAGAUACCCCAGUAGUCCCUGUCUCUUAUAA